CAAAUUUAGCAAUAAAAGUAUACAUUGUAAAAUAAAUUUUUAAAAAAUUUAAAUUACACAAAAUAUAUAUAAUACAUUGUAAAAGUAAACUUUUAAACACUCGAUUAAAAGUGAUUAUUAUUAUUAUUUUUUUAAAAGUAUACAUGCCAAGCGUCGGAUUGUUCACCCGCCAAUAGGGAACGUGAGCUGGGUUUAGACCGUCGUGAGACAGGUUAGUUUUACCCUACUGAUAACAGGUCGUUGCCGUAGUAAUCCUGCUUAGUACGAGAGGAACCGCAGGUUCGGGCAUUUGGUACACGCACUCGGUCGACAGGCCGGUGGUGCGAUGCCACCGUCCGCGGGAUUAUGCCUGAACGCCUCUAAGGCCGAAUCCCGACUAUGGUUCAACGAUUU
rnacentral:ncRNA from 1 species